UGGGGAAUAUUGCACAAUGGGGGAAACCCUGAUGCAGCGACGCCGCGUGAGUGAAGAAGUAUUUCGGUAUGUAAAGCUCUAUCAGCAGGGAAGAAAAUGACGGUACCUGACCAAGAAGCCCCGGCUAACUACGUGCCAGCAGCCGCGGUAAUACGUAGGGGGCAAGCGUUAUCCGGAUUUACUGGGUGUAAAGGGAGCGUAGACGGCUGAGCAAGUCAGAAGUGAAAGCCCGGGGCUCAACCCCGGGACUGCUUUUGAAACUGCGGAGCUGGAGUGCAGGAGAGGUAAGCGGAAUUCCUGGUG
rnacentral:rRNA from 1 species